rnacentral:rRNA from 1 species
UUAAACUACUUAAAAUAUAAUAUUAAUUAUGAUUUAACUAAAAACAUUUAUAAUUUUAGUAAAGGAGAUUAAAGAUUGUUUUAUUUUGUUUUUUAGUACUGAAAAGGAAUAAUAUAAAUUAACGAAAAGAAAAGAUAUAAACUUAUACCUUUCGCAUCAUGGUUUAGUUAGAUUUAGCUACUAAACAGUAAUUCUCGAAAUCUAAUGGGCUAUUUUUAAUCUAGUUUUUAGACUAGAAAAAGUAAUUGUGGAAAAAAUUUUUUUAGAAUUAAAAAUAGAAAUGAAAUUUUAUUCGUAUUAGAUGAUAGCUAGUUCUUUCUAAAAAGUAUAUAAGUACUGGGGCCUAAUUUUACUUAUAUUAAGAAGUUAAUAUGUAGUGAACGUCAGUCUACACAAAUUUUUGAGGAUAAGCUCGAAAACAGACAUUAAAGUUGCAUUUAAUAUUUUAAGCUAAAUUUAAACUUGAAAAUAGUUAUAAUUUGCGAUUUUGUUACAAUUUCAUUAAAUUUAUACAUAAAAAAUAGAAUUGUUAUAACCUAAAGAAAGAAAACUUUUAAUCUAGAGCUAAGUUGAUACCAUGCUAAAAUGAGUAUUAAUAAUUUUAUAAAAUUUACUAACUCAAGAUGGAAAUCUUAUUUUUUUUCUUUCAUUUAAAAUUGUAAAAAGGAACUCGGCAAAUAUUUAUUCUGCCUGUUUAUCAAAAACAUGGCUCCUUGUAAAACAUAAAUAGGGAGUCGGACCUGCCCAGUGAAUAUUUUAACGGCCGCGGUACUCUGACCGUGCAAAGGUAGCAUAAUCAUUUGCCUUAUAAUUGAAGGCUUGUAUGAAUGGUUUGACAAGAAUAAAGCUGUCUCUUUACAAAUAAAUAUAAUUUUAUUUACAGGUGAAGAAGCCUGUAUUAUAUUGAAAGACAAGAAGACCCUAUCGAGCUUUAAAUAAGUUAGUAUAAAGUAAAUCGUAUUUAUAUCGAGCUGGAUACUAAAAAUUUUAGUUGGGGCGACUAAGGAACAACUAAAGCUUCCUAAAAAUUUUAAGCGCUUUCAAGCUGUGAUCCAAAAGUUUUGAUUAAAGAAAUUAGUUACCGUAGGGAUAACAGCAUUAUCUUUUUUAAGAGUUCAAAUCGAAAAAAAGGUUUGUGACCUCGAUGUUGGACCAGAAUAUCCUGAAGAUGCAGCCGUCUUCAAGGGUUGGUCUGUUCGACCAUUAAAAUUCUACGUGAUCUGAGUUCAGACCGGCGUGAGCCAGGUCAGUUUCUAUCUUCUAUUUUUGAUAUGGACCUAGUACGAAAGGAUUGGUCUAUGAUAAUAGUUAUUCUCCUUGAUGUAGUAUAAAGGGUUAUUAAAUUAUUAAACACAAUAG